rnacentral:rRNA from 1 species
AUUGAACGCUGGCGGCAUGCCUUACACAUGCAAGUCGAACGGCAGCACGGGAGCAAUCCUGGUGGCGAGUGGCGAACGGGUGAGUAAUAUAUCGGAACGUGCCCAGUCGUGGGGAUAACGUAGCGAAAGCUACGCUAAUACCGCAUACGAUCUAUGGAUGAAAGCGGGGGAUCGCAAGACCUCGCGCGAUUGGAGCGGCCGAUAUCAGAUUAGGUAGUUGGUGAGGUAAAGGCUCACCAAGCCGACGAUCUGUAGCUGGUCUGAGAGACGACCAGCCACACUGGGACUGAGACACGGCCCAGACUCCGUACGGGGGGCAGCAGUGGGAAUUUUGGACAAUGGGCGCAAGCCUGAUCCAGCAAU